rnacentral:rRNA from 1 species
GACGAACGCUGGCGGCGUGCCUAAUACAUGCAAGUCGAGCGGACCGGAUUGGGGCUUGCCUUGAUUCGGUCAGCGGCGGACGGGUGAGUAACACGUGGGCAACCUGCCCGCAAGACCGGGAUAACUCCGGGAAACCGGAGCUAAUACCGGAUAACACCGAAGACCGCAUGGUCUUCGGUUGAAAGGCGGCCUUUGGGCUGUCACUUGCGGAUGGGCCCGCGGCGCAUUAGCUAGUUGGUGAGGUAACGGCUCACCAAGGCGACGAUGCGUAGCCGGCCUGGGAGGGUGACCGGCCACACUGGGACUGAGACACGGCCCAGACUCCUACGGGAGGCAGCAGUAGGGAAUCUUCCGCAAUAGGCGAAAGCCUGACGGAGCGACGCCGCGUGAGCGAAGAAGGCCUUCGGGUCGUAAAGCUCUGUUGUGAGGGACGAAGGAGCGUCGUUCGAAGAGGGCGGCGCGGUGACGGUACCUCACGAGAAAGCCCCGGCUAACUACGUG